rnacentral:rRNA from 1 species
CCUACGGGGAGCUGCAGUGAGGAAUAUUGGUCAAUGGACGAGAGUCUGAACCAGCCAAGUAGCGUGAAGGAUGACUGCCCUAUGGGUUGUAAACUUCUUUUAUAUGGGAAUAAAAUGUUCCACGUGUGGGAUUUUGUAUGUACCAUAUGAAUAAGGAUCGGCUAACUCCGUGCCAGCAGCCGCGGUAAUACGGAGGAUCCGAGCGUUAUCCGGAUUUAUUGGGUUUAAAGGGAGCGUAGGUGGAUUGUUAAGUCAGUUGUGAAAGUUUGCGGCUCAACCGUAAAAUUGCAGUUGAAACUGGCAGUCUUGAGUACAGUAGAGGUGGGCGGAAGUCGUGGUGUAGCGGUGAAAUGCUUAGAUAUCACGAAGAACUCCGAUUGCGAAGGCAGUUCACUGGACUGCAACUGACACUGAGGCUCGAAAGUGUGGGUAUCAAACAGGAUUAGAUACCCGUGUAGUC